UUAGUCGCCUUUUACGACAGGCAUGCCUUACCGCGAGUAAAUUCUUACCCCUACCCACAGGGGGACUGAUUAAGCACAGUCCGAUAGGUCAUUUCGAAUGGCAUAUUUAUGCUAUGUGGUCGGAUAUCAAUUAAACAGCUUCUUGAGAGAAAAAAGACGUGUGCCCAAUUUCAGAUCGAUAUCUUAAAAACUGAGAGACUAGUUGCCGUAUAUACUAACAGCCGGACAUGGCUUAAUCAACUCAGCUGGCCACGCUGCUCAUUUAUAUACAGCUGUAAUCAAAAUAAGAGCGCAAAUUGGCUUCAUGGAUAAUGCAGAAUAAAUAAUGCGACUUAAUUGUUUCGAAUGUAAUUUUUGUAUCUUACAUAUUUAGUAAUGAAAAAAUAUAAACAAAAAACAGCUACUUCAUGGAAGUUCAACUGGAAAAUUAUCGAAAACUUUGAAAUAAAAAAAAAAUGGUCAAACGAUUUCUUUAAUUAUAAUAGUUUCAUGUAAAAAAGAUACUAAUAAGAAUGAAAUAAUAUUUUGUGUUAAUUAAUCUUGACAUAACCGAGCCGAUUCCUGAUAUCCUUGACUCAUUGUAUUGGCUCUACGCCAUAGUAGGAAAAACAUGCCCUCAGCAUUAUGAUUGUCCGGCCAUGUUUGACAGUUUUUAUACAAUGUUUUGGGUUCAAUUCGUUUUUGUGUGGUAUUUUCACAUACUGUCAGAAACCUCGCAAAAAAAAACUGAAUUUUCUUUAAUUCUUCUGACAACAAGAUGCAGAGCCAUUUUUCUGGUAACCACUGAAUAUGUAAGUUUGCAAAUUGAAUCCCUGCUGUUAGGCUUUUAUUUCUAUGAAAAGAAAUUUUCUCGGGCUGUGUACUGUUCAUUAAAAUCAAAUUAUAUACCAAGCUAAUUCGUCCACAAGUUAAUAAAAAAUAGAGUUGAAGGUACUUUUGCAUCACUUAAGUUACAAUGAACGACAAAUUAUUGAUUCUAUCAUAAUUUGAAAUGAGCGCUCCUAAUAUAUUAAGACGCUAAAAACAACACGAAUUGGUUAAAUUCGGGAAUUGUCAAGAACAAAAAAAAUUCAAAGGCAAAAAUAAAGCGAAUGCAUGCGCUGUUUUUUCAAUCAUCUACUCGGCCAACGUCUGCGUUAUUCGACAAAAUCAUCGCCUUCCCACGGUCAAGGUUGCUACUUUGUUGUGAUUGACGCGUCUAUUAGUUAUAUGAACUACCGUUUGUGUGUGUGUUAUUGGCACUAUUGCUCUUGUUGCCGUUAUUUCUAUAAAUAUUGAAAUAUGAAAAUGUUUAACGUGCGGUAGAUCACUACCCUGUUCACUGUGUGACUAUUAAACUGAGCAUUCGGCGCGCCCAUACUCUGCCAUCGACCAGUUGCUUGUGAAUAUAAUAGGUAUGGAUCGCUCGCUCAUUUACCAACUUUCCGCACUCGUACGUACUAUCGUACAUUCCCAUCGAAUGUUAUCGGCACUUGUAAAUAUUGUUCACUCAACUUUUCUUCCGCUGUAUGUACAUUCGUAUGCGUAAGCAAUCUUGUCCAAACCCCAUUCUACUACAACAAUCGUCAUUUGGCAGGUGAUAGAUCACAAAAGUACUAGCCGGUCAUUGAAGACUAAGAUUUGUAGGUAUAUGUGUAUAGCUAUUUAUUAAUAAGCAACUUUUAAUAUGUAUGUACAAAUUCGCUGUAUGUUUAAAAGUUUCUUAAACAAAAAAUUUGGACGAAAACGAUUAUAUUCGUAUGUUUUCAGCGGAUUUUUGUCACCAGUAUAAAUGAAAAGCUAUUCAAAAACACGUCGCUAAAACUACUAGAUGAAGAAUAAUAUUGCCGUAUUACCAAUACUUAUUUUUUUUAUUAAAGAUGUAGAUCGGGAAGUUUAUUAAAUACGAUUUUAAACAACGUGAAAUUAAUUGAUUAGUCUUGGUUUUGUCUAACCAAUUAGUAAAAAUUUAUUAAUUUUUCGAAAAUCAGAGUAAAAAUGAAAUGUAUGAAAUAAAUAAACUAAAUAAUGAUUCAUAUUAAUAAUACAUGUGUGGUGUUGUUUUUUUUUUUCUCGUAAUCGUACAUAAAAGUACCAACAUAGUCAAAGGAUCCAAAAGCAUAGUAACAACUUGCUAGAACAACAGAAUCACAUGUCUACGCGAUCGAGGGCAUUUAAAGUAUUUUAACAACUUUAUCAAUCUUUUUAUACAUUUAUGGUAUUGAAAAUAUUCGGAUAGAAAGUUAAAAAAACAAAAAGCAACAAAACAAGUAAGAAAGGGCUAAGUUCGGGCAUUAGCGAAAAUUUUAUACUCUCGCAAAAAAACUGCAUACUCUCUAAAUCCAUUUUAGCUAGCACACUGUGCCUAGUUUGAUCCAACUUAAAAGAUGGAAUAGCUUAUAUCUCCAUUAUGUUAAAAGCGAAACAAAUCAUAAAUAAAAAAUAUAUAUGUAUGUUUUUGUUAAAAAUUUAA